rnacentral:piRNA from 1 species
UUGAGAGUCUUAUUCCUCACUGAGAAGCUA